GGAAUGACUGCAAAGAAAGUGGGUAAGACAGAAAACAAAACACUGGAUGAGCAUUGUAUUCAUUUGACUAAGGCAGAGACUUAGACUUGGAUUGGGUUUGGAAUUGGGAUUUACUCGGAAAGAGCUGGCAAGAGUCCAUCAAACGUAAUUUGCUGGCUGUUUUGGACAAUCCUUCAACUCAAGAAGAAGAGCCCAAGAAAGAGGCAUGAAAUGGUUGGUGGUGUUGGUGGGAGAGAGUAAGGGGGUUAAUCUGGGCUUAUCUGUGAUUAGUGUCGCUCCUUCCUUGCCUUCCAUCUAUCUGUCUACGUAUGUAUCCCAGUUGUCCCUCGGCAUUUUGCCACCUUCCACUUGUUUAUUAUUAUUUUGCACAUUGUUUUUGGCAACUUUCCCUGCCAAGCGUAGUUCUGGUCUCUCCACUUCGCACUCUGUCUGCUUAGUGUUUCUGCCUUUUUCUUUUCCACUUUCUUUGAGGAGGGGGGUGGCACGUUCUAUAAGCAAGUUUCUUUAAGCCGAUUUCGUCUUUUGCAAAGACUUGUUAAUGAAAAUGAAAAGUGCUUUAACACACACCAUCGCAGAAACGAGAAGAGAAUGGGCGUGAGCCGAAUAAAAGUAGGGGGCUUUGGGAAAGAACUGACAAGGACAAUGCGAACAGGAAGAACGAGUCAAAGCAGUUUGCAUAAUUUAAAGACUUUUCCCACUGCCUGCCUCCCCAUUGUGUCUAUCCUUUUCCCGCUCAACAAGUUCAUUAGCGACGACUUUAAGCCGGCACAGAAAACUAAACUAUAACGAAGGGACAAGGGAAACAAAGAGUGUGCACUGAGCAAAAACUGUGGCAUUCUGAAUGCACAAGAAAUUAAACUAUUGAGAGCGAAAACCAAUUCAUUACUACCAAGAAAAGUUCUUCAGUUUGAAUCUUUUUCAAUUUAAGUAUGUGCAAAACUCAUUGGCUCUUUCGGGGUAAUUAAAAUCCGAGCUGGUGUUGAAAUGGCAACGCCCAAUUUCUUUAACUGCAUAAUGACAGUGAGAUAUUUUCCGAAGGAAGUUCCAAGUGGCUGGCAGGCCACACUGUUGCGGUUAGGAUGGGCUUAAGUGGUAAUAACUGUCACUGGCCAAGCUGGCCAACUACGUCGGGCUAAUGCAUUUUAUGGUCCUCCAUCUCGGUGACCCCCGGUCCGAUCCAUCGUGGAGCGAAUGUCCCGAAAACGAGAGGAAAAACCAAAGCAAGCCCAUCCCAGUCGUAACUGCAGCUUAACGUAACGACUUUUGAGUGCCUGUGCCACAUUAUGUUGCAGCUGCAGUUGAAUUGCAAGGAUUGCGUCUGUGUGCGUGAGUGUGCGGGUGUGUGGGUGAGGCCUGUCAUUGUCUAUUGCACAAAGUUGAACCAGUUCUCGUUAGCAGUUCUCAAAUUGAUUCUACCAUCCUUUCAAGGCAAAUAAAUUGCAUUGGCCUGAGAGCUUAUUUGUUUCGUCCUAUUUCUAAAUCCCCUUCGAGUGUAAUUUAGUUAUAUCUGGAAGUUUGAAAAACUCAGUAGUUGGACUUUUACUUUUCAUCCAAAAUAAAAGUCAUGGUAUUUUACCAAGAUUAUUAUGAAAUAAAAAUGUGCCUCGUCAUUAAGUUUAUUGCGGAUAUGACUUCAAUUCUUGUCUUUUCUUGGUUUUCCCGUUGAUUUAAUUUCGGUUGUCUAACCUGCGUUGAUUGUGUGGAAAAUAAGAGGUCUGGCUGGGUCGAGGGUCUCUGAUUAAGAUAUUAGAGAUAACUUUUUUAUGGCCCGGCUAAAUGUGAUGUAAUAUAAUGAGAAAAUUAUUGGCAGCGUCAACUUCAACCUGUGCCGCCAUCCCAUCUCUGGUAGCAGCCGACAUUGCAUCAACUUUUCAAUUUACCCCCGUCGCAGGAGGCAAACAAAGAACACGCUUAAAAAAGACACAAAAUCUUUUCGCGGCAGCGAGGAAAGUCGGGCGGGAAAUAUGAAAUCUCAGGAAGUGUCAGCAGAAGGAAAACGGAGGGGGCCAAAAUAUUUUAAGCACGCUAUAAACAUGUAAAUGAGCAUGGAAAUUGAAAUUGUUAUCUAAUUUUUUAUAUCAGCGCUCGCGCAGAAGCUGCGCCCGACUCCUUUGCACAAGACACUACACUGAGCGAAAUGGCAGGACUUCGAAUCGAAUCGAGUACUGAUUCUACUGCAGGGCUAUACACUUUAGAAUAAAACUUUAUAAGCGACUAAAAACCAAUUA